AUGGCUAAAGCUAAACGGGACAGUUCUUUUUGCGAGAAGACAGGUAUGGCGGGCGGUGGGAUGAUAGUUCAGGAUGCAAAAGGGGAGAUAAUCCUAUCAUCAUGUCGGGUCCUAUACACUUUCGUGGAACCCCUUGAAGCUGAGCUAUAUGCGUGCAUGGAGGGCUUAUCCCUAGCAUGCCAAUGGACCCAACGUCCAAUUGAAGUGGAGACUGAUUUCUUAGUGGCGUUCAACAUGCUUAUGGCAUCAGGUAUUGACAGGUCAAGAUAUUCUAUGCUGGUUGCCGAAGCUAGAAGGCUUAUGAAAGACGAGAGGGAGUUCAAGCUACGCCUUGUAUAG
rnacentral:rRNA from 1 species